rnacentral:rRNA from 1 species
GACGAACGCUGGCGGCGUGCUUAACACAUGCAAGUCGAGCGGUAAGGCCCUUUCGGGGGUACGACGAGCGGCGAACGGGUGAGUAACACGUGGGUGACCUGCCUCUAGCUCUGGGAUAAGCCUGGGAAGCUGGGUCUAAUACCGGAUAUGACCUCGCGGUGCAUGUUGCGGGGUGGAAAGCCUUGUGCGGCUAGGGAUGGGCCCGCGGCCUAUCAGCUUGUUGGUGGGGUGAGGCCUACCAAGGCGACGACGGGUAGCCGGCCUGAGAGGGCGACCGGCCACACUGGGACGUGAGACACGGCCCAGACUCCUACGGGAGGCAGCAGUGGGGAAUCUUGCGCAAUGGGCGAAAGCCUGACGCAGCGACGCCGCGUGA